rnacentral:rRNA from 1 species
GGUUAAGUUAACAAGGGCGCAUGGUGAAUGCCUUGGCACUAGGAGCCGAUGAAGGACGGGACUAACACCGAUAUGCUUCGGGGAGCUGUACGUAAGCUAUGAUCCGGAGAUUUCCGAAUGGGGCAACCCAGCAGUUUUAAUCAACUGUUACCACUAGAUGAAUUCAUAGUCUAGUUGGAGGUAAACGCUGUGAACUGAAACAUCUCAUUAGCAGCAGGAAUAUAAAGAAAUUUCGAUUCCCUAAGUAGCGGCGAGCGAACGGGGAACAGCCCAAACCAAAGUGCUUGCACUUUGGGGUUGUAGGACUGAACAUUUGAGUUACCAAAGAACUUGAUAGUCGAAGGAUUUGGGAAAAUCCGCCAUAGAUGGUGAUAGCCCAGUAGAUUAAAUCAAAUUCUCUCAGUUCAGGAUCCUGAGUACGGCGGAACACGUGAAAUUCCGUCGGAAUCCGGGAGGACCAUCUCCCAAGGCUAAAUACUACCUAGUGACCGAUAGUGAACCAGUACCGUGAGGGAAAGGUGAAAAGCACCCCGGGAGGGGAGUGAAAUAGUUCCUGAAACCAUGUGCCUACAAUAAGUCAGAGCGCGUUAAUGCGUGAUGGCGUGCCUUUUGUAGAAUGAACCGGCGAGUUAUGAUCCCGUGCAAGGUUAAGACUAAAAAGUCGGAGCCGUAGCGAAAGCGAGUCUGAAAUGGGCGUUUU